GUGGUGUUAACACUAUAGGGUCAUGAAUUCAUGUUUGUGUUCCUGACCCUAUAGUGAUCCUUUAAGGUAAUGCUGACUUUGGUCUCUCUAACACUGUGGCAUGUUCCAUUUCUUCUACACUCACUACAUACAGCUUUUCUCUGUCCCAGACUAUAUACCAGGAGCUUCUGCCUGCUAGUAAGAAGGUAAGAAGACAAGUGGACCAGCGAGUGCUAGGAAACAGUCCUUAGAAAGCGUUGAGUGAGCGCAUAAUUAGCUCAGGGUGCUGUCUGCAUAGUAUGGCCAGCUGCAUGAUUGGCAGGCAUCCUGACAUGCAUUCAUGCCAGACUGGCCUUCUAAUUCUUUGGGCAGACAUACCCUCUUUUUGGGCAUGUUCGUCCCUUUUGGCAGGUCGCGUGAUUUGUGUCAGUGGCACACCCUUUUACCGUGCCCAUUGACUUCCUGCUUGACUGGACACUGCUGUUAGCUGUUAUGGAUUUACUUGAAAGAUGAAAACAUAAAUUAGAGGGAG